rnacentral:rRNA from 1 species
UACGGAGGGGGCUAGCGUUGUUCGGAAUUACUGGGCGUAAAGCGCACGUAGGCGGAUAUUUAAGUCAGGGGUGAAAUCCCGGGGCUCAACCCCGGAACUGCCUUUGAUACUGGGUAUCUGGAGGUCGAGAGAGGCGAGUGGAAUUCCGAGUGUAGAGGUGAAAUUCGUAGAUAUUCGGCAAGAACACCAGUGGCGAAGGCGGCUCACUGGCCCGAU